rnacentral:tRNA from 1 species
CCCUGGUGGCUUAGAUGGUCAAGAAUCUGCCUGCAGUGCAGAAGAUCCAGGUUCGAUCCCUGGAUCAAGAA